CUGAACCAAUGGCUCUGGCACCAGCUGGCAGUGGGUGAAUAUGGGUGCCCACGCAUUACAAACAACUCACAUGCAAAAUCCAGACUUUCUCCGCCUCAAGUGACACUUGUUCUGAAAUUCUUCUCAUUUCCUAGAGACUUAGAAAAGCCUAGCAAUCCCCUGAGACUUCCGCUGGUACCUCAAAAUCUAGUAAGCCUCCUAUGCAUGCAAAUGCAGCAUUUUGCCCCUUAGCAAGCACUGGUGCUGAUCAGAUGGAAAAACUAACAGAAAUAGGCACAUUCUUUAUCGUAGGGUGCUGCCCAUGUCUACUGGAAGAAUUCCUGAUCACUCUCCCAGGAAGGCCUCCCUCCCUUUAGAAGGAAUUAGGUUUCUUUCAAGGCCUCACAUAGGACUUUCCCACGCUCACAGCCCUUUGCAAGUUAGAAGUGCGUGGGAGCCCAGCAGUUUCGAUCAAGUCAGGUACUGUGAUGCAGCAGGCUGCACAGCUCAUGGUGGCAGAUGUAUGCAGAGCUGGUGAGGAAGGAGAAAGAAGAAAUCCAAAACGAAAUGGUAUAAGCUUGAGGAAUAAGCUGUACAGCUGUCUCAACAUGAAGACACAUCUCAAGAAGAACUCUUGAAGCAUCAUGAAAUUUCCAUAGCAAGACUGAGGCAUGAAGGGAGAAUCUGCAAAAAAACUGUUUUUUUUCCCUUUUGAGAAAGAUAGUGCAUGCAUAAACACACACACUCACACAGAGCAAGCACAGGAGGACUAGCUGAUUGACCCAAUAACCCUUCCCAUGCCUCUAAUUUUUAUAAAUGCAUGCAACAAUCAGUAGCUAUCAUAAUUGUGUGCAAUUUCUGGCCAAUUUGAGAACUGUAAUUGAGAGCCCCAGGAAGUAUCUCACACUCCUGCAGGGAGAAAAAAAAAUUGCAGUUUUUGAUCUUUAGUGUAUGGGAAUGACACAAAGGUGGAUUUACAUCCCUCAUCUGCAGCAUCAAUUUGUGAAUAAAGCCUGUUGUUUACCUCCUGGUAAUUAAUCACUAAACAAAACCAAGACAAUCUGCAAUAUGUAGAACU